CUUGUUGUGUGUGAUUACUCUGAGCUCUGUUCAGUAAUGGUAAUGCCGAAGCUUCAAAACAAGAGAGAGAAAAUCGAAGCUUAAAGAGAGAGAGAGAGAGAGAGAGAGAGAGAGAGAGAGAGAGAAAUCAGAGAGUUGCAGAUCGCAUAGAGUUUCGGAUUGCUUGGUAAUCAGAUCAACAACAUACAGAGAGAUAACCACGCAAUAACUGCUUGCGUUAGCAAAAUCCGAACACAGUGCUGUUUUCGUAAGCAAAGAAGAGCAGCAAUAUACUCAUUUUCGUUUUAUACUGUUUGGAUGGAAAGAAAG